CGAGGAUGCUGCCCCAAAUUGCGCAGCUACCCCUCUUAGCUCAUUUGCGACCAUGGAAUUUCAUGUGAGGCGGCGGCCUGGAAGCAACCUGGCGGUGGCUAUUUCUCUCUCGCGACGGUAGCGCGAUUCCAAACCGGCGAUGGCGUUAGAUCCCAAGUGCAGGUACCGAGAAGACCCCAACCGGCAACCUGGUCUGCGCACGGGAGAUCCGGUUCUGUUGGUCUGGUAAGCUAAUUUCCUGUUCAUUCUUGUUUAUCCAAAAAUCCCCCGGUUCUUUCGCUGCCCCUGCCUCUCCUGCAGAUCCAUUCUUCGCAGAAGCAGGAUAUAUACGCUCCAAUCAUCCACCGGCGAGGCGGCGGCGUCCUAUCUCCGUCGAUCUCCUUGAUCAGCUGGUGCCACCGGUGGGCAAGAUCGUCGCGACUGCCGCAAUCCUAGUGCUUUUGUGACCUGACCGUCCUAUUCAGGCCAGCAAGCACAGGCCGCCAAGGAGAAGGGGGCCCCUUCAGAUUAGGUCAGAGCUCCGCUUCUACGUGCCUUACAACCCACUAAACACAGAUCAAGAAGCUUCCAGCCAGACUUGAGGCGCACAGGACAAGAUCUUGAUGUCAUGGUGUUCAAAUUAAAUAAAUGGGGACAUAGUAUCUUACCUCGUAUAUUUUGUUAAUAUUUCAUUCUUUGGAAAAAGAUGGAUUGAUAUUUAUGUCUUGCGAUUCACCUAAUCGAUGUGCCAUGGUAUACUAUAAUUUGUGUUAUAUCC